GGAUCGUCACAGUCAGAGACAUGUUCUUAUAAAACUGAAAACCAAAGAAUGUUCCUGCCAGCUCAGCUGGCACAAAAUAUUCUCUUUGGGUCACAAAAUCCUCAAAGAGAAAAUUUUCUAACUGGACUAGACCGAGAAAUUAUUUGUGUGACUCUAAAAAGAGAUCCACAGCAUGGUUUUGGUAAGUAACGAAGCUUGUGUAUGAAUGAUCCAACAUGUUCUCCAAAACAUGUGGAGACAUAGGAUUUAUGGGUGAGUAUGGGUAAGCUUUUCUAAUGAGGAAAGGUAGUUGGCUUUUUUCAUGUUUUUCAACUCUGUGAUUCAUUCCUUUUUUUAGACUACUUCUUCGUUUUUUUUUUUCCCUCUUCUCUUCAUGUGGACCUAAAGCAGAAGUUCUUAAUCUUCUUUUGUGUCAAGAGUCCCUUUAACAAUCUGGUAUGGGUCCCCUCUCAGAGCAGUAUUUUUAAAUUCAUCAUAUAAAAUACAUUGUCUUGAAAAGUAAUCUAGUUAUAUUGAAACACAGAUAUCAAUUAAAAAAACAAAACAAAACAUGCUCAUAGAUCCAAGGCUAGAAAUUCCUGUUUUAAAGUAUCAUGUAUAAUAUUUGUCCAGGAAUCAGUAAUAAUUCCAUUAGUCUCUUAUGGAGUACUUAUAUGCAAAAAGUAUUCUAAAUGCCAGAAGAAGGAUAUUACUUUAAUAGAUUAUCUAUCCUCAUGAAGUUUGUGUUUAGAAAGGAAUAGAGGGAGUAAACAUCCAUUUACAAGAGUCCUUAAACUUUUUAAAUAGGGGCCAGUUCACUGUCCCUAAGACUGUUGGAGGGCCGGACUAUAGUAAAAACAAAAACUUUGUUUUGUGGGCCUUUAAAUAAAGAAACUUCAUAGCCCUGGGUGAGGGGGAUAAACAUCCUCAGCUGCCACAUCUGGUCCUUCAGCCGUAGUUUGAGGAUCCCUGCUAAAGGAUGUUGGAAAAGUAAGAAGACUUAUCAAGAAAGAAGACAGGACUUUGCUGAAAUAUUAAGAAAACCAAAAAAGAGUUCUUUGAAUCUGAAGAGGAAGUAUCUGGUAGGAGUGAGGGAGGAGAUAAUGAAUACUUCCCUAACUUUCAGGGAGAUCAAGUAAAAUAAUAGCAAAAAAAAUCAUUAAAUUUGAUAAGUAAGAAGUUAAGGUUCACCUAAUAUAAGAGCAAUUUCAGUGAAAUAAUGAAGAAGUUUGAUGGCCAAGAGCUAAGGAAAUGUAGAUAAAGAGAAAAUGCAAGCAAGAGAGAUAGGGAGGAAGGAAAGAAUAAAAAAGAAGGCAGGAGAGAAGGAAAGAGUGGAGGAAGGAUUAAGGGGAGAAAAAUGAAGGGAGGAAAAAAGAAGGAAAACAAGAAAGAUGGAGAGAAAGGAAAGAAAAAAGGGAUUAAAGAAAGGAGGAAGGAAGAAAAGAAAUAAAGGAAGCAGGAAAUUAGAAAAAGAAGAAGAAAGGAAAAAAGAAAGAAAAAAGAGAAAAAAGAAAGAGAAUAAGAAGAAAGGAAGAAAAGUACAAGGAAGGAAAGAAAAAUGAGGAGAGGAAGGGAGAAAGGAAAGAAAGUAGGAAAAGAAAAAAGGAAAUGAAGGAAAGGAGGGAGAAGGUAGGGAGGAAGGAAAGAAACAAAGGAAGCAGGAAGAAAAACAAUGGAAAAGGAUAAAAAAGAAGAAAAGAAAGAAGGAUAAAGAGCAAA